GACGGAGGGGGCAAGCGUUGUCCGGAAUCACUGGGCGUAAAGCGCACGUAGGCGGGACGGUGCGUCGGUGCUGAAAGCGCCAGGCUUAACCUGGCGAGGCGUGCCGAUACGACCGACCUCGAGGCAGACAGAGGGUGGCGGAAUUCCGGUUUAGUGGUGAAAUGCGUAGAGAUCCGGAGGAACGCCGGUGGCGCAAGCGGCCACCUGGGUCUGACCUGACGCUGAGGUGCGAAAGCGUGGGGAGCAAACCGG
rnacentral:rRNA from 1 species